rnacentral:rRNA from 1 species
CCCUUAGAUGUCCUGGGCCGCACGCGCGCUACACUGACAUGUUCAACAAGCCUCCUAGUUCGACAGGAUUUGGGAAAUCUUUGAACGCAUGUCGUGAUAGGGAUAGAUCAUUGCAAUUAUUGAUCUUGAACGAGGAAUUCCUAGUAAACGCGAGUCAUCAGCUCGCAUUGAUUACGUCCCUGCCCUUUGUACACACCGCCCGUCGCACCUACCGAUUGAAUGUUUCGGUGAAGAUUCCGGAUAGGACUUUUUUGAUUUAUUUCAAUUCUGUCUUAAAAGCUAUCUAAACCUCAACAUGUAGAGGAAGGUGAAGUCGUAACA